rnacentral:rRNA from 1 species
UUAAAUUGAAGAGUUUGAUCAUGGCUCAGAUUGAACGCUGGCGGCAGGCCUAACACAUGCAAGUCGAACGGUAACAGGAAACAGCUUGCUGUUUCGCUGACGAGUGGCGGACGGGUGAGUAAUGUCUGGGAAACUGCCUGAUGGAGGGGGAUAACUACUGGAAACGGUAGCUAAUACCGCAUAACGUCGCAAGACCAAAGAGGGGGACCUUCGGGCCUCUUGCCAUCGGAUGUGCCCAGAUGGGAUUAGCUUGUUGGUGGGGUAACGGCUCACCAAGGCGACGAUCCCUAGCUGGUCUGAGAGGAUGACCAGCCACACUGGAACUGAGACACGGUCCAGACUCCUACGGGAGGCAGCAGUGGGGAAUAUUGCACAAUGGGCGCAAGCCUGAUGCAGCCAUGCCGCGUGUAUGAAGAAGGCCUUCGGGUUGUAAAGUACUUUCAGCGGGGAGGAAGGGAGUAAAGUUAAUACCUUUGCUCAUUGACGUUACCCGCAGAAGAAGCACCGGCUAACUCCGUGCCAGCAGCCGCGGUAAUACGGAGGGUGCAAGCGUUAAUCGGAAUUACUGGGCGUAAAGCGCACGCAGGCGGUUUGUUAAGUCAGAUGUGAAAUCCCCGGGCUCAACCUGGGAACUGCAUCUGAUACUGGCAAGCUUGAGUCUCGUAGAGGGGGGUAGAAUUCCAGGUGUAGCGGUGAAAUGCGUAGAGAUCUGGAGGAAUACCGGUGGCGAAGGCGGCCCCCUGGACGAAGACUGACGCUCAGGUGCGAAAGCGUGGGGAGCAAACAGGAUUAGAUACCCUGGUAGUCCACGCCGUAAACGAUGUCGACUUGGAGGUUGUGCCCUUGAGGCGUGGCUUCCGGAGCUAACGCGUUAAGUCGACCGCCUGGGGAGUACGGCCGCAAGGUUAAAACUCAAAUGAAUUGACGGGGGCCCGCACAAGCGGUGGAGCAUGUGGUUUAAUUCGAUGCAACGCGAAGAACCUUACCUGGUCUUGACAUCCACAGAACCCUGUAGAGAUACGGGGGUGCCUUCGGGAACUGUGAGACAGGUGCUGCAUGGCUGUCGUCAGCUCGUGUUGUGAAAUGUUGGGUUAAGUCCCGCAACGAGCGCAACCCUUAUCCUUUGUUGCCAGCGGUCCGGCCGGGAACUCAAAGGAGACUGCCAGUGAUAAACUGGAGGAAGGUGGGGAUGACGUCAAGUCAUCAUGGCCCUUACGACCAGGGCUACACACGUGCUACAAUGGCGCAUACAAAGAGAAGCGACCUCGCGAGAGCAAGCGGACCUCAUAAAGUGCGUCGUAGUCCGGAUUGGAGUCUGCAACUCGACUCCAUGAAGUCGGAAUCGCUAGUAAUCGUGGAUCAGAAUGCCACGGUGAAUACGUUCCCGGGCCUUGUACACACCGCCCGUCACACCAUGGGAGUGGGUUGCAAAAGAAGUAGGUAGCUUAACCUUCGGGAGGGCGCUUACCACUUUGUGAUUCAUGACUGGGGUGAAGUCGUAACAAGGUAACCGUAGGGGAACCUGCGGUUGGAUCACCUCCUUACCUUAAAGAAGC